rnacentral:misc_RNA from 1 species
GGACUAGAUGUUAGGGUACAUACCCACAAGGACGUGGGGGAUGCUUAUGUUAGAGAUAAGAGACUUAGUCUUGCUGUCCUUGAAAUUGGCUGGAUUAUGCAUGGAUAUGCAACACCAUUUAGCAGCUUUUUUUUUUACUACUGUAAAGUUUUCAUCAUUACAUACUCUAAUGCUUAUUAAGCCUUAAAAAGAAAUUCCUCUCUUGUUACCAAAUACUUGGCCUUCUUGAUCCUAUUAUUUGCUACCGAAUUCAUAUCUAGACCUAGUGUAGCUUCUAAAUUCUUUUUGUGUAAUUAUUGUUGAUUGUCAUCCAGACUCUAAUUUUGAUAUUGCAACCAAACAACUAAAAAAUAUUUCAUUUGUAAGAAAAUAUUUUUGGCUAAACAGUUAUCUUCUGCCAAACAAACAGAGCCCUAAUCUUAGGAUAAAUUCCUGAGACUGGUUUGUUAAAAUUAUUAUUGCUAUAUAUCACCCUUUGAUCCUCGUUUCAGAUACCUAGAUUAAGUGUUCUAUGCACGAACCUGAGAGAUUUUACAUUUCACAUAACAAACUAAAUGAGAUUUAAUGUGUAUUCCCACUUCUAAUGUUGCUAUUAAGGAACAUUUGAGUUGAUUUUUCUCGCUGGAGAUAUAAGCUAGUUUGAUUUCAGAAAUAUAUCUCUUCAAAUUUUGUUCAAGAGCAUUGUAUGACCGGAUUUUUCCAUAACUUAAUUUUUAGCAAGAAUUAGUGUUUGAGUUAAGCCAUCCUUCCAAGAAAAACAUAUAAUGGUUCACCUUCUAAAACCCUUCAAGCCUAGAACUAGAGGUUAUAACAAAAACUACUGAUAAAUAGAAAUAAUUCUCAAAUAUACCUUAUCUUCGUGAGAAAACAAUUAUGAGCUUCUCAUUUGACAAAGACUAAAAAAGUGAGAGCUGUUGCUGUGAUACAGUGAAAAGAAAAUUACUUCCUGAUAUUUCUGACACUUUAUUGAUAAUUAAUUCAGUUUCUGUUUUCUGAUCACUAAGGCUUACUUACCGGUUUCUUAUUUAUUACUAAAAUCAUAGAUGGAUGUAGUAAAACACAGAUUUUAGUUUUACUGGAUUGGUGAUCUGUUUGUUCAUCAACUUCAACUUAUAAUUGGUAGGAUAAAAGGUAAAGAUAGGAAUUUAACUUCGAUAUGUAUUUCAUUUUCUCAUCUACUUCAACUUUAAAUAGCAGAAUAAAUGUACUUCAUUUACUGAGUAAAACUAAUAUUUAAGCUCUGGUUGUUUUUGACGGGAAAAAGGAGUGUUGAGAAGUUCCAAACUCCUUUUUUUAAGAGUUCUUAAAGUACAUCAGAGGAGGAAUGGUAUAUAUAUAUAUAUGUAUGCUCAAUAAGAUGGCAGAUUC